rnacentral:rRNA from 1 species
UACGAAGGGGGCUAGCGUUGUUCGGAAUUACUGGGCGUAAAGGGCUCGUAGGCGGCCAACUAAGUCAUACGUGAAAUCCCUCGGCUUAACCGGGGAACUGCAUCUGAUACUGGAUGGCUUGAGAUUGGGAGAGGGAUGCGGAAUUCCAGGUGUAGCGGUGAAAUGCGUAGAUAUCUGGAGGAACACCGGUGGCGAAGGCGGCAUCCUGGACCAACACUGACGCUGAGGAGCGAAAGCCAGGGGAGCAAACGGG